rnacentral:rRNA from 1 species
AUGUCCGUCGAGCCGGAAAGCACCUCGGCGCGCGCGGAGUGGGAGCUCGGUCUCCCUCGCCGAAGGCGUCGUCUCCUCUACUUCGCAUCCCAUCCCAUCCAAUCCACGGCUUCCUCUUCCUGGGUAGCAAUACUACCACCGCCUAGCGCCUACGGGCUAUCCAGGCGACGAGCUUACCACCAGGCAAGAGGCAACAAUGCAAUGGACAUUUCUGGUUUCCAAUUCCGGCCACUUGCAGCCUCUGAAGGAUGCAAAGUUUAUAUGGAUGCACAUUCAAGUUGUAAGUGCAGGGCCGGAGGUUGGGAUAAAUUGAUGUACUCAGUCCAUGUAGCAGAAAGCAUCAGAGAAGACAAGACAAUUGUGGAGAAGGGCUGGUGCCUUUAUGAGAUUGAUCUCGAUACGCAAACACUAUAUGUCAUGGACCCAAUGAUGGCAUCAUCCACAUGGGAUAAGAUGGAAUGGAAAGGCAUGAAAACCAGCCGCCUAAUGCUGCAUUGCUCCAGGCUAAACAAGUCAUGCUACUUUGUACAAUCUGCCACUACUGAUAAAACGUACAUGAUUUUAUCUUUUGCAGAUCCAGAUGUAAUGAAUCCCAAACGACCAUACCAGACAACACCCUCCAAACAGUGA